rnacentral:rRNA from 1 species
UGGGGAAUAUUGCACAAUGGAGGAAACUCUGAUGCAGCGACGCCGCGUGAGUGAAGAAGUAUUUCGGUAUGUAAAGCUCUAUCAACAGGGAAGAUAAUGACGGUACCUGACUAAGAAGCACCGGCUAAAUACGUGCCAGCAGCCGCGGUAAUACGUAUGGUGCAAGCGUUAUCCGGAUUUACUGGGUGUAAAGGGAGCGUAGGUGGCUGUGCAAGUCAGAAGUGAAAGCCCGGGGCUUAACCCCGGGACUGCUUUUGAAACUGUGCGGCUGGAGUGCAGGAGAGGUAAGUGGAAUUCCUAGUGUAGCGGUGAAAUGCGUAGAUAUUAGGAGGAACACCAGUGGCGAAGGCGGCUUACUGGACAGUAACUGACGUUGAGGCUCGAAAGCGUGGGGAGCAAACA